UCCGGCUUAUCACCGGCAGUCCCUCUAGAGUGCCCAACUCAAUGCUGGCAACUAAAGGCGAGGGUUGCGCUCGUUGCGGGACUUAACCCAACAUCUCACGACACGAGCUGACGACAGCCAUGCAGCACCUGUGUUCCCGCCAGCCGAACUGAAGGAUCCCGUCUCCAGGACCCAUACGGGACAUGUCAAGGGUUGGUAAGGUUCUGCGCGUUGCUUCGAAUUAAACGAGGAGGAAGGUGGGGAUGACGUCAUCUACG
rnacentral:misc_RNA from 1 species